rnacentral:rRNA from 1 species
CGGAUGUAGCAAUACAUCAGUGGCAGACGGGUGAGUAACACGUGGGAACCUUCCCUAAAGUACGGAAUAACCGCUGGAAACGGUGGCUAAUACCGUAUACGCCCUUCGGGGGAAAGAUUUAUCGCUUUAGGAUGGGCCCGCGUCAGAUUAGCUAGUUGGUAAGGUAAUGGCUUACCAAGGCUUUGAUCUGUAGCUGGUUUGAGAGGAUGAUCAGCCACACUGGGACUGAGACACGGCCCAG